AGAGACGACACCUCCAAGUGUUCAGACUCGUCUUUCAGACCCCGCAGUAGCCUAAAUGACUAAUCCCCCAGGACACUAUACAAGAUAGGGAAGUAAUUCUACACCUCCACUAUCUCCAGCCGAUAACAGACCAUACAUUACCUGAUGUGACAGCCGGAGAGUGCUAUAUGUAUGAGAGACCAUGACUAGAAGUGUGAGAGGAGACAACGCCUGUCUAUACAAUGUGACAUCACCGAGACUGAUAUAUAACCUGGGUUGUGUCCGAUCGGUUUCCCCUAUUUUUAUCACCCUGACAGAUAUGAGUUGCCUUCUAAGUUUUUCCCACACGGUCCUGACCUCUCGUCUGGGAAUCUCUGAAUGAGUCUAAUGGCCUCCCAGUCCGGCACAUCCCACCUCCAGUAUAGGGGACGCUGGUAUUACUGGGACAUUACCAUCAGGUUGGAAAACCCUUUAACCCUAUAAAUGCUG